UGUUGUGCGUUUACGCUAGCAGCUCGUACUUUCUGUGCUUGGAUUUAAAACACCUCGGUUGUUGCUUUUAGCGUGUCUCUUGCCCUGUGUGUGUGGUGCCCUGGUUGCGCUGUUUAAGUGGAUAUUACGACUGCUCACCCUCAGUUGCCGGCGGCUGAUAAGGCUGUGCUGAACCCAUGCCUGUAGCAGGUUAUGUUUAUCAUACCAUUGGUUGGAGCUGGGGUCCCAACGGGUGGAUGGAACUUUCCGGUGGUGGUUUUCCUUUUUCAUUGUGUGCUGUUUAACACGAAGUGUGUGAUUUAUUUCAUUUGAGUGCACAGUGGUGUGUGCGUGCGUGUGUGUCUAUGUGGACCCAAGUCGAGAUUUAGAACCCCUCUAUCCUGUUGGGAACCUCAGCCCUGCUUAAUUUAUUUUUCUUUAACUUUCAGUUUUGUGUGUUUGCAGUGUGGUUGCCGUGAAUUGAAGUAGAGUGAUAACUUGUAUGAUUAACUGCUUAUUUUAAUGAGAUUAAGUAAUAAAACUAUUUUUGUAUUGUACUCACGUCUCUCUACUCUUUCUUUGUUUAAACGAGGAGUGAACCUGUGUGCUUUCCCACCCUUCUGGGUGUUAUUAGCAUUUCCCCUGGUGCAAGUCCUGGGGUGGCGUAGUUGGAGUUCAAAUAUUAAAUCUGUCUUUUUGUUCUAAAGUUAUACCCUCACGUCACAUUUACUUUUUUACUCUGUUUAAAAAGUUGUAUGAGAGAGUUCCUUGUUUAUUUUAUAUGCUUUUCUCCUGUUUAUGCUUAGAUAGGGAGUAAGGGAAGGUUAUGUUGUUUUAUUUUGUAUUAUCUUUUCCCAGGUAAGUUUAGGUUCCCCUAAACUUUAGCCAGAAUUCUUUUUGUUUGUUGUUUUUAGGUCUCUCUCCCUCUCUUUUGAAUGCUAAUUAGCAGAAAAGCCCAUUUGAAAGAACCUCUUAAAUAAACUAUGCUUUCUGCUUAAGCCUAUGUGAGGUAGUUGUUUUCACUCUGGGACAGUGGUUGGAAGUGUGUCAAUUUUUUCCUGAUUUCCUUUACAAAAACCUUUUUUGUCAUUUUCCCCUCCUGACCCCUAGACUAAAAGGGGGAAGAUGUAACACUAUACGUUACAUUAGUAAUACGUUUGCUUAUAAUGUUGAUUUAUAGCCGCAGCAAAUUUAGCUGCUUGUGCUAUCGUGUAUUUUGUUAUGCUAUCUGUCGAUUUUCUGUGCUUUUCACUACAUCUAUUAUGUAAAGCUGCUUUGAUACAAUUACCAAAUUGUGAAAAGCGCUAUAUAAAUAAAAUUGAAUUGAAUUGAAUAAACUGACAAGCAGCCGUAGUAAUAAUAGUGCUGUAUUUUAUAUACAUAUGAAGUUUAUAUCAGUGCAUAAACAGGUGUAUUUAAAGACAUCUCCUCCGGACGGAUUUCAACAUCCAUGGCUCCUGUCGUCUCAUCAUCAUCAUCAUCAUCUUCGUUUCAUCUCCUGCUCUUUCAUCUGUUGCUGUGUCAUCUCUCAUAUACAAAAUAAAAACUCCUGGAUGACAAAUUGAAAGCUUUACGUUGGCAUUUUUUUGUAAAACGGACACAAAAGAAAGCAGCACAUGUGAUGUUUUGUAUAAAGGGUUUGUAAAUACACAUACAGUAUACCGACAUAUA